ACCUGGUUGAUCCUGCCAGUAGUCAUAUGCUUGUCUCAAAGAUUAAGCCAUGCAUGUGUCAGUAUAAGUAUUAUAUAGCGAAACUGCGAAUGGCUCAUUACAUCAGUCAUAACUUAUUUGAUAUUUGAAAGUUACAUGGAUAACCGUGGCAAUUCUACAGCUAAUACAUGCGUUCAUACCCAACUUUACGGACGGGUAGUAUUUAUUAGAAUAUUAAACCAAUCCUUCGGGUUGUGAUGAUUCAUAAUAACUGAUCGAAGCGAGGAUUUCCUUGCUAAAUCAUUCAGGUCUCUGCCCUAUCAGCUUUAGAUGGUAGUGUAUUGGACUACCAUGGCUAUAACGGGUAACGUAGAUAAGGGUUCGAUUACGGAGAUGAAGCCUGAGAAAUGGCUUCAACAUCUAAGAUGGCAGCAGGCGCGAAAAUUGCCCAAUCCCGAUUCGGGGAGGCAGUGACAAGAAAUAACAACUCAGGGCAUUGUCCCAGGGAUUGUAAUGAGAAAAAUGUAAAAAACUUAUCGAGUAUCAACUGGAGGGCAAGCUAUGGUGCCAGCAGCCGCGGUAAUUCCAUCUCCAGUAGCGUAUAUUAAAGUUGCUGCAGUUAAAAAGCUCGUAGUUGAAAUUCUG
rnacentral:rRNA from 1 species